GCACGCGCCGGGGCCGGGCGGGGCGCGGGCGCCCCCUGGCGGGUGCCGGGAGCGCCGCAGGGCCCGCCCCGCCCCGAGCGGGGCUGAGGGAGCCGGGACCGCCCGGGGGGCUGGGGCGGCCCUGAGGGGUCCGGGGGGUCUCUCAGGGGUCCCCCGUGGGAAGGCUCAGGAGAGGCUGAGCCAGCCGGGUGUGCCGCACGGCAGAGCCCUCGCCGUCCCAGGGCCCCCCUCAGACCGCGGGCACACCCGGGAGGAACCCGCGCUCACACCCCCGCCCCAGUCACUACACCCGGCUUCCAAUGGUUCCUGACGGUUAUUCACCCUUUCAGGUUCGUCCUUUCACUUCCUGAGGUAGCAAAGGGAAAUCUUGGCUGAUUUUCAUGGGGAAAGGGCUCUCCAGUGCCAUCCCUGCUGCUUCCCUGUGUGAACCAGGGCAUGAGCAGUGCCAGGCUGGAUGUGUCACCAACCCCCCUCACCUGGGAUGAUCUGCCCUGUGUUUGCCCUGGGGAUGUUAUCAGAGCCUGGGGAAGAGAGAUGGAACCCGAAUUUGGCGUCAUGAAAGGUAAAAUCAAUUUCCCUGUAUUUUUUUGGAGUUUAUUUACGUGCUUUACUAAGGCCAAACUUCCUUGUUUUGAAAAAAUGGAGUGGCACGUGUUCACAGUGCACGUGCUUGUAAGUCAUGGAAUGAGAGUAAAUAAUGUCCUGUGUCCAAUUUCUGGGCAUGAUAGGAAAAGGUGUGGAUUUAACCACCCCUUCUCCAAAGCAGAAUGUGGUUAUGAUUCAAAAUCCAGUAAAACUGUUGGAAAGUGGGUCUGAACUUUCUGAAUCUGUGUGUUUGUAUUAAAACACAGAUUAGUGCUGCCUGACAGCCCUUUCCAUGAGAGAACUUGUAGCUUGAACACAUUUUUACCUAAUCCUUUGCAACUAUUUCAGUCAAGAAUUGAGGGACAUUUUGAAUCAUUUCUGCUCCUGUGUAAGUCACAGCAAAACCCCCCAGCUGUCCUAAAUAUGGGAUUUGAUUCAGCAUGGCCAGUAGUCAUCGCUGGGUAUUCCUUAUCCUGCAACAUGUUCCAAAUCACAUAUGGUAAUUGCUCUGAAAUCACAUUUCCCUCUAGGGAGUGUCCCACCACCACCUCUUCACUGUGAGGUGAGAUUUUCUUGCUGGAUUCAGUGGGAAGAGCAGGUGGGAAAGAUAAAGCCCAGAGCUUUUGUUUGCUUGUGUAAAAUAACAUACGGAAUAUUUUGGGAUCUAUUCUCUGCUGUAUGUAUACAGGCUAUAAACAACUGUCCUGCCCUGUGAUGUGAUGUUCCAGUGCCUGAUCACCCUCUGGGGGGAGAACCUGUUCCUGAGAUCCAACCUAAACCCCCCUGGCACAGCUCCAGCUGUUCCCUGGGUCCUGUCACACCGAGCAGGGGUCGGAGCUGCCCCUCGGGAGGAGCUGCAGCCCCUGGUGAGUCUCCCCUCAGUCUGCUCUGCUCCAUCUGAACACACCAAGUGCCCUCAGCCACCCCUCACAUGGCUUCUUCCCCUGACCCUUCACCAUCCUCAUAGCCCAAAAACAUCACCUUCCAAACCCAUGGGUUUUUUCAGGUUAAGGUGUUUAACUUGCUCUUUUCCACGUGUCCGUGCCUCUCUUUGCCCUUGGAUGGGAGCGUCGCCGCAGGAUUUCGGUGUGUGAGGCAAUCCCUCCCCCCCCAGUGUUUGUGCCUGGCUGGGAGCACUGGGCAGGGCAGACAGGCAGUGUGCAGGUGCAGGUUUUAGCACGCCUGGAGCUCUGGGAGCACCAGCGAGGAUGAACUCAGCACCUGUCGUAAUCCCAGGUUUUGUAAGGUCUGUAUGUGGUUAUUAUCAGUGAUUUGGGACCAAUCCCUCAGCAAGCCAAGCACUCCCCCUCACUUCUGCAGGAGCUGGGAUUUGGGACUGGAGGUGAUUGACAACCUUUCUCUUUUAGCUCCUUCACAAAAAUGCUCCACCAGAGGAAGAGUCUUUAUGUAAAAGACACAUUUAUAUCUAUAAAUAAAAGUGUCCAUGCCCGAA